AACACCAUGGUUACAUUUUUCUGGUACGAUUACCUUAUUUUUAUUAUUGUGCUAAGUGCCAGUGCUUUAAUUGGAGUCUAUUAUGGCUUCUUUGGAAGCAAACAAAAAACCGUCAAUGAAUAUUUAUUAGGAGGAAAGAAAAUGAGCGUUUUUCCGGUCGCAGUUUCCCUAGCAGUGAGUCAUUUCUCAGCCAUAACACUUAUGGUUGUCCCGGCGGAAAUUUACAAAUUUGGGGCGUUUUAUUUAUACAUGACCAUAGCACAAAUUUUGUUGGGUUUUAUAACCGUUUAUAUUUUUCUACCAGUUUUUUUCAACCUACAAAUUACGAGUGUUUACGAAUAUUUGGAAAAGAGAUUUGAUGCUAAAACCAGAUCAUUGGCUUCACUUUUUUAUGUGAUUUCGGAAAUAUUGGGACUCGCAGUUUGCCUCUACACCCCAGCUUUGUCCCUUUCAGUUGUUACUCACAUUCAUGUUCACUUGAUAACAGUUAUUAUCACUGCCAUUUGUAUAUUUUACACUACAAUUGGCGGUUUGAAAACAGUAGUGUGGACCGAUUUUCUACAAGUGGGGAUAAUUUUUUUAUCACUUAUAAUCGUCCUAAUUUUGGGUUUCAUUGAUUCGGAAAAUGUUUGGAACACAGUAGUUACAGGCGGAAGACUUGAUAUUUUUGAUUUUAGCUUAGAUCCAACAAAACGGGACACAUUUUGGACAUUUGUGAUUGGAUCUACAAUUUAUUGGACCAAUUACGUUAGUCUGACACAGUCCGGUGUCCAAAAAUAUUUAACACUACCUACACUAAAAGACUGUAACAAUGCCGUCAAAAUUUUUGUCGUUGUGAUGAACGUAGUCAUAAUUCUUUGCACCUUAUUAGGAUUCUUAAUGUACGCGCAAUAUUCAAACUGUGAUCCUUUACUAAGUGGAAAAAUUAAAAAACGAACAGCUGGUGCCCUAUUACAUUAUGGAAAUUGCCGGACAUUUACCCGGAGUUUUUAGUUUGACUCUUGUCGCUUUCUUUUGUGCAACAUUGAGCACAGUUUCCUCAAGUUUAAACGCAAUAUCCGGCGUUAUUUAUAAAGACUUUGUUACAAAAUUCGUAAAAAGUGAAAUUACCGAAAAGACCGCUGGGUACAUUUUACGAAUAAUUGUGGUUAUUGCUGGUAUUUUAGUUCUUUCGACUGUUUUCCUAAUAGAACAUUUAGGUGAUAUUUUCCCGUUGUUGAUGAGUGUAAGAGCAGUUGCAGAUGGACCUUCUGUUGCGUUAUUCACAUCUGGAGUUUUGAUUCCAAAAAUAAAAGCCGAGGAGGCUUUUUAUGCAGCUAUUUUAGUUUUUAUUUUUCAAGCAAGUAUAGCAAUUGUCUCAAAAAUAUAUCUCUUCAAUAAAGCAAUUGUUGCAAUUGCCAAGCCAUUGUCGGUCGACGGUUGUGCCAACUCUUCUUUAAUCAGCUUUAACAACACUUUAACAACAGGAAACAAACCAUUUUUUAUAUUUCGUUUGUCCUACAAUUAUCAAUGUGUAUUUGGAACAAUUUUGACGAUAAUUGUUGCCCUAAUUAUAAAUUAUUUCACACACAGAGAGAACAGAGCAGUUGAUAAAAUGUUGGUCAGUCCUGUUAUUCACCGAUUUCUACCAAAACCCGCAAAAGCAGAACGUGGCCAAGAAUUGGACGAACUUAUGACAAAUCACAGAAAACAAUAAUUAUUUGUUUAAAUAAAGGACAAGAUGAAAAAAAU